UACGUAGGUGGCGAGCGUUGUCCGGAUUUACUGGGUGUAAAGGGCGUGUAGGCGGGGAUGUAAGUCAGAUGUGAAAUUCUUGGGCUCAACUCAAGCGCUGCAUCUGAAACUAUAUCUCUUGAGUGCUGGAGAGGAAAGCGGAAUUCCUAGUGUAGCGGUGAAAUGCGUAGAUAUUAGGAGGAACACCAGUGGCGAAGGCGGCUUUCUGGACAGUAACUGACGCUGAGGCGCGAAAGCGUGGGGAGCAAACAGG
rnacentral:rRNA from 1 species